GGAAGAUUCAAAUAUUUGCGGAGAGAAGAGAGGCAAAUGGGCGUAGGAUGACCGCUGAGCAGCGAGAGGCGUUCGUUGCGAUAAAAGCUUGCCUCUCUCUCUCUCUCUCUCUAAAUAUUCCUUUUUGUUUUUGUGUUUGUUUUUGCCUUGUUCUUCGAGGUCAGUCUGGAGAUGUAAGCGUCGUCAACUCCAAUCCAAAAUCCAACUAUCAAAUGUCAAUGAUUUUCUUCUGUUUCUCAUCAACUCUUCUUUGAUUCUCUUACUCCAGUAGGGUUUCUCUCCUCUUUCAUCUGCUCCCAGAGCGAUGCCAACUUUUACUGCUAUAGCUCUGGAUCGGUUGUUAGAACCUGGAGCUUCUAAAUCUGUUGACAAUUCUGUUCCUCGUUCAAACCCUGCUCCAGAACAGAGGCUUCCUCCAAAAACAAGACCAGUGCCUAGUUCAAAAUCAAUCCUGAAGAGAAGAAAUAGUAUAUCAGCCACAGAGAGGAAAGUUAGUCUUCCUCAGAGAUCACCUGCGCUCUAUGCGACCCCUGAAGCAACCCCACUCCCUGAUUCACCAUCCUCUUUCACUCCUUCCCCAUAUAUUAUUAACCACAAGCGGCGCGGGCCACGCCUAUUAAAGAGCUUUUCUGAGGUUGAUGUAGCUUCUCACUCGAAAACCUUGAAUGAGGUCAAUGGGAGUGCAAAAGAUUCAGAAAAUAGCGUUGGUGAUUCAAGUAAAGAUCGUAGAGUUACUUUUUCUUUUUCUGAUUUUGAAGGGAAGAAUGUAAAUGGUACCCAGAAUAGUCCACGCAUUAAAGGAGAGAGUGAAAAUGGUGCCCAUGAGGCCUCUAGUGAAGGGGUGGAAAUGCAUGGUACCCAUGAUGGUGAAAUUGGAAGCAGUAAUGAAAAACUUAAAAGCAGAAAUACUAGGAAUGGCUUGGCCAUGGAGAAGAAUUCAGAAAGAGAUGGUGAUUCUGAGGAUUUCUUUGAUCCUCGGGAAUCAAUUAGUUAUUCUAGUUACACUGAUAGUGAGGACAAUGCUGUGGUGGAAAGUUCUGUGAAGCUUGCUGCAACUACAGCAGUAGGAGAAUUCUAUGAUGCCUGUGAAGAGCUUUCCUUGGAGAGUGGGCAGCAGACUUCUCUCCGUGACCUUGAAGCUGAAUUGUGUGAAAUGAGAUUAAAUUUAUCGAUGGAGUUAGAGAAGCGAAAGCAAGCAGAAGAAACACUACACAAUGUGCAAAAUCAGUGGCAGAGGAUCAGGCAACAAUUAGCCCUUGAAGGAUUGACUCUCCCGGCAUUUCCCAUGACUGUUCCAGAGGAUGAGCUAUCUCCAGGUAUUGAUCCUGCAGAAGAGCUGUGCCAGCAGGUGUGUGUUGCUCGGUUUGUGUCAGAUUCCAUUGGAAGAGGCAUUGCAAAAGCUGAGGUGGAAAUGGAGAAAGAAUCUCAGAUUGAAGCAAAGAACUUUGAAAUUGCUCGAUUGUGGGAUCGGCUUCAUUAUUACGAGGCUGUGAAUAGAGAAAUGUCUCAGAGGAACCAAGAAGUUAUAGAGAAGGCUCGGCGUAAGAGGCAGGUAAGGAAGAGAAGGCAGAAAUGGGUUUGGGGCUCAAUUGCUGCAGCAAUUACACUUGGCACUGCAGCUUUAGCGUGGUCUUACUUUCCAUCAGCAAAAGGAUCAUGUGAUGAUUCUGUGGUGCCUGAACAAGACAAUGCAGCUAAGCGAUGAAUUUUCAGUCAACUAGAAGGCUAUGAUGCUGUAGAGGAAAUAAAUUAAGAGAUUAACUUAUUGUGACGUGAAUUCAAUUGUGCCGAAGCAAGACAACAAACUGUGUUGUGUUAAAAUUUGCCAGCCACGAAAGUUGACAACGUAAACCUCUCAGGCGUAUGGUUUAUAAUAAAUUAGUAUACGGAUAUUAAAAUAUUUUAUAUUACUAUUAUAUAAAAUAGUAUAAAAUUAUUGUAUAAAAUAAUAUAAAAUUAUUUUAUAAAGUAAUAUAUUUUUUUGUAUGAAUUUAUCCAACUUAUUAAGAGGUGUAAAAUAUUUUCUUUUUUAUAUUUAGAUUUUGAACAUAAAACUAUCCAUUGAUAGAUAGUAUAUCAUAAUAUUUUAUUUUAUCUAUUGUGAUUCAAAAUAAUAUAAGAAAAAUUUAUUAAUUAAAUAUGCAAUUUAUUAUAAUAAAAUAAAUAAUAUAAUUAUUGUGGAGAAUUAAAAAUUUAAUUAAUAUCCAUAAAAAAUGCAAAUAAGAAUUUAUGAGGUUGAUGUUUUGUUCAGCAUGAACCGCGGGCAUUAUAUUCUGUUAAGCUAUCAUGGUAUGGAAGGAAGUAACCAUCAAAAGUGUUCCGCUGUUGCCUUUCGCCUUUCCAGUUGUUACGUAAGCCUUCCAUCACCAAUGAUCUUUGGUGGCUAGAGCCUGAGUGGGCUGCCAUUACCAAAGCCUAUAAAUUGUGCGGCUAAAUCUGUUGGCCAACGAUAACACUACACCAAAUCACCACCCAUUUCUUCUUGGGUUGAUGCGCAUUCAUGGCAUGUCAGUUCGGAGAGCACAAGUGGUUGUAGCUGUUGAUUUUAAAUGAUUCAAGUAGGGGAGCACAAUUAGGGUACGUGACUGGACCUAAAUGCGUUGUGUGGCCAUGUUUCGGUUGAUCUCCAAUACUCCACACGGUUCAUCGUCUCUCUCUUGAAAGCAUUGUGCAAUAGACCGCUGCAACAUCAUUGUUUCCAAAUAAUAGUCUUAUCAACCAUAGAUAUCUCACUGAAAUUUUUUGAAGAAUAAACAAACAAGUUCAAGCAGUCUCAAAUUUCAAAAAGGGAGAUGACAAAGAAAAUUCAAUAGCACCGGCAACCACAGAUUUGAAGGGUUGCACCACCUCAAAGAAGAGACCUCUAUUUACCUUAGCACACUCCUUUUCCAGGUUAGGAAGAUCUCCAACACAUGAAGAAAGCAAACCCAAGGGAAGGACGAAGAGAAAAAGCCCGAAAGGUGAAGACAAGACCUCCAACAGGAUUGCGGGUUAACAGAUCGCAUCUCUCGCUACAUCAGACCCUGGUGUGCCACUUCCUCCUUCAAAGAUUGAUAGAAACAACUUCUCCGAGCCCUGCAUGCAACCAGAAUACAAAGAAAAAUACAGAAAAGAACCAAGAAGUGAAAGGCCACAAAAAAUCAUCAAAAGCAUAACUAUGCUCAGAUCAGGUCACAAAAGUAUGGGCAAAACCAGAUAAAAAAUGAAGCCCUCAACCAUUAGCAUAGAUCUAGAGUUAGAAACAAAAAAAACAAAAAGCACUACUCAAAGAGGAGAGGGCACACCCACAUUCGAGCAGAGGCCUCUCUCCAUUCAUAGGGGCAAAGAGGGCGCUCACGAUGACAGCGGUAGGAGACUUAGCUCCCAAAAACAAUGAAAAAAAACUCAAAAAAACCUCUCUAAAAGUAGACAGUCAAUGAAGGACUUCAGGACUGCUGCUUAGGCUGUGCUCUCUAUCCAUCAUCCAAGUUGGAUUAAGGACAAGAUCUAAAUCCUAAUGCAGCUGCCAAACCUAAAAUUCCAGCAGAGUUAUAUUUGGGGGAAAAAACAAGUCGGCUUGUGCUUUUCUCUUCAUUUUUCUAGUCUUCAUUAGAUUUGCAAGGUUGAGCAAAUAGUCUCUUCAACGAUCAAUUUUUAGGUGUUAUUCGAGUUCAAAAGAUUUAUUGUGAAUUUUAGAAUACAGUCGACACAUCAGCAUGAAUAAUCGGAAACACAUUUUGUUAAA